ACUGAAAAUGUAACUGAAAUAUUCUGUCAUGACCAUGUACACAUAGUAAGGUAGUGUUGAUUAAUAUGGGGGAAAAACAUUUGAUCCUGUCCUUUUGUUUUUGGAUUUUCUGGUUGUUUGUAUCAAAAUUUUGAUUUAAAUUCACAAUGUCUCAUACUUUAAAUAUGCUUAAAUAUUCAACAUAUAUUGCAUAUAUGUUGCAUAUAUUGAUAUGCAAGUCAUGCAGCUGUAUCUUGGAUGGUUAGUUAUGUAUUGUAAAAAAUGCAACUGUAUUUUGUACCAGUACUUAUAUUUCGGAUUUUCUGGAUUUUUGCAUUAAAAUUUUUCAUUAAUCCUAAGAUGACCCAUACUGUAAAUAUGAUGGAAAUAUUUUUCCACUAGAGAUAUAGAAAUGCUGUUGGAUUUGUAAAUCAUGCAACUUUAUUUUGUACAAAUAGUUCUAUAUUGUAACUCAAUCAGCUGUAUUUUGUAUCGGUACUUUUGUUUUGGAUUUUCUGGGUGUUUGCAUCAAGAUUUUUGUUAACUCUCACAAUGACUCCUACUGUAUAUAUGGGUGAACUAUUUAGCCAUGAGAAUGUACAAGUAUAUAUAGUAAUGUUUGUUUUGUGAGUUAUGCAACUGCAUUUUGUACGGGUAGUUUUGUUUUGUAAGUCAUGCAAGUGUAUUUUAUACCAACAGUCUUGUUUUAGAUUUUCUUGAUGUUUUAGUUAACCCUCACAAUGACUCUUACUCUAAUUGUGUUUGAUAUGUUCUGCCAUGAUUAUGUACAAGUAAAUAUAGUAAUGUUGUUUGAUAUCUAUGUCAUACAAAUGUAUUUUGUACAAGUAGUUUUGUAUUGUAAUAAUUGCAACUGUAUUUUGUACCUGUACUUUUGUUUUGAAUUUUCUGGAUGUUUGCAUGAAGAUUUUGAUUAACCCUCACAAUAACUCAAACUAUAAAUGUGCUUGAAAUAUUCAGCCAUGAGUAUGUAAACAUAAAUAUAGUAAAGUUAAUUGAUUUGUAAGUCAUGCAACUGUAUGUUUCACAUGUAGUUUUGUGUUGUAAAAAAUGCAAAAGUAUUUUGUACCGGUAGUUUUCUUUUGGAUUCUCUGAAGGAUGCAGUAAAAAAUGCAACUGUACUUGUACUUUUGUUCUUGAUUUUCUGAAUGUUUGCAUCAAUAUUUUGAUUAACCUUCACAAUAACUCAAACUGUACCGGUAAAUAAGCUUGAAAUAUUCUUCCCUGAGUAUGUAAUCAAAAAUAUAGAAAAGUAAAUUGAUUUGUAAGUCAUUCAGUUGUAUUUUUUACAGGUAGUUUUGUUUUGUAAGUUAGGCAACUGUAUUUUAUAUCAGCAAUCUUGUUUUGAAUUUCUUGAUGUUUGCACGGGUAUUUUUUACGGGUAGUUUUGUUUUGUAAGUUAAGCAACUGUAUUAUGAAUAGUUAGUUUUGUUUUGUUACUCCUGCAACUGUAUUUUUUAUCAGCAAUCUCGUUUUGAAUUUCUUGAUGUUUGCAUCAAGAUUUAUUAACCCUGACAAUGACUUGUACUGUAAAUAUGCUUGAAAUAUACUGCCAUGAGUGUGUACAAGUAAAUAAAGUAAUGCUGUAUGACUUGAAAAGCAAUCUACUCUUAAUUUUCAACAGAUUUUCCUGUGUAGUUUUCAUUUUUUAUUUACUUUCGAAAUUCCAUUGGGCUUUAAAACAUGUACUUAAAAUCCCUUAACAAAGGCAAACACUAUUAUUGUACCUGGAAUAUUUUGACAUUAAUAUGUACAUGUUGUGUAAAUUUUUUUUUAGUUUAUAUAGUAGUUAAUUUGCUAUAGUCUUUAAGUUUUUUUGCAUGUAAGUGAUGUACAUAUUUCAGUCUUUAAGUAGUUAGUGGAUCUGCAAAUCAUUUGUGUAGAUUUCAUUGUGACUUCUCUUUCUUGGCUUCAUGUUCAUUUUGGUUUGUCACAUCUUUGAUGUACAUAAACUGCAGUAAUAUAUUCAAAAACGCAAAUCACAGUUACCAUUCAUUCCAAAAUUUACUUUAUACCAUUUUAUCAAAAUGACACCCGUAAUCUUUAUUAAAUUUUGUUAACGUACAAAACUUAAUACAGUAUGCCUAUUCAUUUUCUAUGCAUUUCAAUUAAAAACUGUGUCAAA
rnacentral:misc_RNA from 1 species